CCUACGGGGGGCAGCAGUGAGGAAUAUUGGUCAAUGGACGAGAGUCUGAACCAGCCAAGUAGCGUGAAGGAUGACUGCCCUAUGGGUUGUAAACUUCUUUUAUAAAGGAAUAAAACGAGGCACGUGUGCCUUUUUGCAUGUACUUUAUGAAUAAGGAUCGGCUAACUCCGUGCCAGCAGCCGCGGUAAUACGGAGGAUCCGAGCGUUAUCCGGAUUUAUUGGGUUUAAAGGGAGCGUAGAUGGGUUGUUAAGUCAGUUGUGAAAGUUUGCGGCUCAACCGUAAAAUUGCAAUUGAUACUGGCAGUCGUGAGUACAGUUGAGGUAGGCGGAAUUCGUGGUGUAGCGGUGAAAUGCUUAGAUAUCACGAAGAACCCCGAUUGCGAAGGCAGCUUACUAAACUGUGACUGACAUUGAUGCUCGAAAGUGUGGGUAUCAAACAGGAUUAGAUACCCGA
rnacentral:rRNA from 1 species